rnacentral:ncRNA from 1 species
UCGUGACUGCGUGCCUUUUGAAGAAUGAGCCUGCGAGUUUGCGGUGUGUUGCGAGGUUAACCCGUGUGGGGAAGCCGUAGCGAAAGCGAGUCCGAAUAGGGCGAUUGAGUAGCGCGCCCAAGACCCGAAGCGGAGUGAUCUAGCCAUGGGCAGGUUGAAGCGGAGGUAAGACUUCGUGGAGGACCGAACCCACCAGGGUUGAAAACCUGGGGGAUGACCUGUGGUUAGGGGUGAAAGGCCAAUCAAACUCCGUGAUAGCUGGUUCUCCCCGAAAUGCAUUUAGGUGCAGCGUCGUGUGUUUCUUGCCGGAGGUAGAGCACUGGAUAGGCGAUGGGCCCUACCGGGUUACUGACCUUAGCCAAACUCCGAAUGCCGGUAAGUGAGAGCGCGGCAGUGAGACUGUGGGGGAUAAGCUCCAUGGUCGAGAGGGAAACAGCCCAGAGCAUCGACUAAGGCCCCUAAGCGUACGCUAAGUGGGAAAGGAUGUGGAGUCGCAGAGACAACCAGGAGGUUGGCUUAGAAGCAGCCACCCUUGAAAGAGUGCGUAAUAGCUCACUGGUCAAGUGAUUCCGCGCCGACAAUGUAGCGGGGCUCAAGCGUACCGCCGAAGUCGUGUCAUU